GACGAACGCUGGCGGCGCGCUUAACACAUGCAAGUCGAGCGAAGCGGCGGACGGGUGAGUAACACGUGAGUAACCUGCCUUAGACAUUGGGAUAGCCUCGGGAAACCGGGAUUAAUAACAAAUGGUCUAAGAUGGACUCGCGUCCCAUUAGCUAGUUGGUGAGGUAACGGCCCACCAAGGCGACGAUGGAUAGCCGGCCUGAGAGGGUGAACGGCAACAUUGGAACUGAGAAACGGUCCAACUUUUACGGGAUGCAGCAGUGGUGAAUAUUGCACAAUGGAGGGAUCUCUGAUGCAGCGACGCCGCGUGAACGAAGAAGGCUUUCGAUUCGUAAAGUUCUUUUAUAUGGGACGCGGUACCAUAAGAAAAAGCCCCGGCUAACUACGUGCCAGCCGCCGCGGUAAUUC
rnacentral:rRNA from 1 species